rnacentral:rRNA from 1 species
GACGAACGCUGGCGGCAUGCCUAACACAUGCAAGUCGGACGGGAAGUGGUGGUUCCAGUGGCGACCGGGUGAGUAACGCGUAAGAACCUGCCCUUGGGGGGGGAUCACCAGCUGGAAAGGGCUGCUAAUACACCGUAGGCCUAGGAGCAAAAGAAGGACUCCGCCCGAGGAGGGGCGCGCGUCUGAUUCGCUAGUGGGUGAGGAAAUAGCUCACCAAGGCGAUGAGCAGGAUCGCGUUGGAGAGGAUGAUCAGCCACACUGUGACUGAGACACGGCCCAGACUCCUACGGGGGACAGCAGUGGGGACUUUUCCGCAAUGGGCGAGAGAGUGACGGAGCUAUGCGGCGUGGAAGUCGAAGUCCUAAGGGACGUGAACUGCUUUUCCCGGAGAAGAAGCAAUGACGGUAUCUGGAGAAUAAGCGUCGGCUAACUCUGUG